UUGCGGUCAGCUGACCCGCCGCCAUCAUGUUCGCCGUUUGCAAGUGUCCCGGAGUGGGAUCGCGGACCGUGCUUAGCGGGUCGCCGCCUCUGCCGCAGUCCUCGGACGCCGCCGCCCUGGCCUGGGAGCCUGCCCCGCCGCAGGAGCCGGCAGUGCAGCGGUCCACGGGCGGCGGGCGCGGCCCCCGGACCCCCUCACGGCGACUGGUCGCGGGCCUCCCGGGGCAAAAGCCCGUGGGCCGCCGUGAUGGCCCUCAAGAUGGUGAAGGGCAUCAUCGACUGCAUGUUCGACAGUAACCCGCAGGACUAGGUCCGCGGCAUCUGCAACGACAAAGGAGGACGAGGUGAGCCCGGCGCGCCACAGGGGCAGCUCGGCCUGGUCACCGCUCCGGCCCCGGGC